rnacentral:rRNA from 1 species
AUUGAACGCUGGCGGCAUGCUUUACGCAUGCAAGUCGAACGGUAACAGGUUAAGCUGACGAGUGGCGAACGGGUGAGUAAUGCAUCGGAACGUGCCCGAUCGUGGGGGAUAACGUAGUGAAAAUUACGCUAAUACCGCAUACGAUCUAUGGAUGAAAGCGGGGGAUCGCAAGACCUCGCGCGAUUGGAGCGGCCGAUAUCAGAUUAGGUAGUUGGUGGGGUAAAGGCCCACCAAGCCAACGAUCUGUAGCUGGUCUGAGAGGACGACCAGCCACACUGGAACUGAGACACGGUCCAGACUCCUACGGGAGGCAGCAGUGGGGAAUUUUGGACAAUGGGCGAAAGCCUGAUCCAGCCAUUCCGCGUGCAGGAUGAAGGCCCUCGGGUUGUAAACUGCUUUUGUACAGAACGAAAAGGUUUCUACUAAUACUAGGAGCUCAUGACGGUACUGUAAGAAUAAGCACCGGCUAACUACGUGCCAGCCGCCGCCGUAA